AUGAAAUUAACGGUACACAUCCUAAAAGGCAGCACCGUUCUUGAAUCUGUUAGGAUGUGUACUGUUAAUUUCAUUUUUUUACAAGUAUACAAGUGUAAAAUGAUCCUUCUUCAGAACCAUGCAAAAGAGUACCCUGAGCCCAGUGUAAUGGGUUUCUUCCGGUAUAAAGAUCAACUGGGGAUCUCAGUCGAACAAGAAGAAGUUUAA